CUUUGCGCAAACGGGUGCCCUUUCAUAUGGCUGAGAUUAUACCGUCAUUAUUAACCCGAUCAUGGUAAUACAUGCGAGGGGAUUUGCGUCAAAAAUAAAC
rnacentral:ncRNA from 1 species